rnacentral:rRNA from 1 species
UACGUAGGGGGCAAGCGUUGUCCGGAAUCAUUGGGCGUAAAGAGCGUGUAGGCGGCCUGCAUAGUCUGGUGUGAAAUCUCGGGGCUCAACCCCGAGCGGUCACUGGAUACUGGCAGGCUUGAGUCUGGAAGAGGAGUGUGGAAUUCCUGGUGUAGCGGUGGAAUGCGCAGAUAUCAGGAGGAACACCAAUGGCGAAGGCAGCUCGCUGGGACGUGACUGACGCUGAGACGCGAAAGCGUGGGGAGCGAACAGG